rnacentral:rRNA from 1 species
CCUACGGGAGGCUGCAGUGGGGAAUAUUGGACAAUGGGCGAAAGCCUGAUCCAGCCAUGCCGCGUGUGUGAAGAAGGCCUUCGGGUUGUAAAGCACUUUCAGUGGGGAAGAAAGCCUUGGGGCUAAUACCCUCGAGGAAGGACAUCACCCACAGAAGAAGCACCGGCUAACUCCGUGCCAGCAGCCGCGGUAAUACGGAGGGUGCGAGCGUUAAUCGGAAUUACUGGGCGUAAAGCGCGCGUAGGCGGUCUGAUAAGCCGGUUGUGAAAGCCCCGGGCUCAACCUGGGAACGGCAUCCGGAACUGUCAGGCUAGAGUGCAGGAAAGGAAGGUAGAAUUCCCGGUGUAGCGGUGAAAUGCGUAGAGAUCGGGAGGAAUACCAGUGGCGAAGGCGGCCUUCUGGACUGACACUGACGCUGAGGUGCGAAAGCGUGGGUAGCAAACAGGAUUAGAUACCCCAGUAGUC